AAUGAACGUUGGCGGCGUGGAUUAGGCAUGCAAGUCGUGCGGAAAGGCUCCUUCGGGAGUACUCGAGCGGCGUAAGGGAGAGUAACGCGUGGAUAUCUACCCCCUGGACUGGGAUAGCGGCGGGAAACUGCCGGUAAUACCAGAUAAUGUCUGCGGACCAAAGGUGUGAUUCCGCCGGGGGAUGAGUUCGCGUCCUAUUAGCUAGUUGGUAGGGUAAUGGCCUACCAAGGCGACGAUCUGUAGCGGGUCUGAGAGGAUGAUCCGCCACACUGGGACUGAGACACGGUCCAGACUCCUACGGGAGGCAGCAGUAGGGAAUAUUGCACAAUGGAGGAAACUCUGAUGCAGCGACGCCGCGUGAGUGAUGAAGGCCUUCGGGUCGUAAAGCUCUGUCGCAGGGGAAUAACACAAUGAAGGUACCCUGUAAGAAAGGAUCGGCUAACUUCGUGCCAGCAGCCGCCGUAACAC
rnacentral:rRNA from 1 species